UCGUGCUAGGCGGGGAGGUAGCGGUGCCCUAUUCCUGCAAUCCGCUAUAGCAGGGUUGAAUUCCUAUUACAGGCUUUUUCCUGUAGGGUCUGCCCUUCGCAAGUGGCAAUGAAAACCGGGUCUUACGCAACAUAAGCCCGUGAACCCCGUCAGGUUCGGAAGAAAGCAGCGGUAAGCGGUCACUUUUGUGUGCCGUGGGGAUGCCUGGUUAGAGUUAACUACGUAGGUUACGCUUGUAGGGGUGAGUCGAAGAUAGGUGCACGG
rnacentral:SRP_RNA from 1 species